CGCACAGCAAAUGUGCUGAGCAAACACCUCGGCAUUCAUCACUAUGCGGGGGCUGUUUACUGCCUCAUAAACUUGGAAGCAAGUGAUAUUGUCUCCUAAAUCAAUGGCUGCGCGGACAGCCUUGGCGCUCCAGGAGAACAGCACGGCCAGGCCGCGCCCGUGCUGAAAUUAAUGACUGGAGCAGUGACUGGAAGGUGCUUAGUCACUGCCGAGGGGAUUAGGAGCCAUUCCAGGGGACGAGCAGCCAGCCGAUGCUGAUGAGUCGGGGGCCGGAUGCCCCAACCAGAGCUCUGUGAUUAACCAGCUGAGUAAGCCUGCUUGGACCCCCAGAUCAGAAAGAGUCCAUCUCCCUGAGCUUACCACAGUAUGCACUGACCUAUGAUGGCACAAUACAAGACAAAGGCAUGUAAGGAAAAGACCUUUCUGCACCUUCCCCAACUUCCUGCCUCCAACGCUUCUGUGUGAUGAUGUGAUACUUGGAACAUGGUGGCAUCUUGUGACCAUGAGGUGACAGGCUUGGCAUGGACAGCCGUGUGCUGUGGGUGGCAGAGCAGGUAACCAGGAAGCCUGGUGCUGACACCCAUCCUCCUGCACCUAUGCCAGCUGGGACCGCCCACCUCCGGACUUCUGACCGUGUGAGCUGACGGCCUCUCUUCACUGCCUGGUGCCUGUUGGUCAGCUGUUUCGUUACUUGUGAUCAAAAGCAUUCCUGAUGGAUUCAAGACUCUUUGAAGAAACUGGAGCUGUGUCACCUGGAAUCUCUGCUGUCAGCUGCUUGAAUCCCCUCCCAGCAUUUCCACCAACCUGUGCUUAGGCAAUUAGAGAAGGAGGAACUCAGGCCAGGCGCGGUGGCUCACGCCUGUAAUCCCAGCACUUCGGGAGGCCGAGGCGGGCGGAUCAAGA
rnacentral:lncRNA from 1 species